UUUUCACUAUUAAAUACUGUGAUAUUCACAUUCUAACUCCGAAGUUCAAACCGAAACAGAUUAAUGGUUGAUUAGGAUUUCAAUAUUAUUGAAGAGUCAUGGAAAUGGAGAUUUCGGUAUUGACGCCUUCACAGCGAUAUGCUGCGGCAGCUCUGUUUGCACUUGCAAUUCACCAGUCUCAGCUCCACCAAACUCAGCCUCUAAAUAGUUUGGUCACUCUGGAUGAGGAGCCGAUUGAAGAAGGUGUAAUUGUAAGCGAAGGAAAAAACGCCUCGGUUUCCGAAGAUCCUCAUCUUUGGGUCCACGAGAAAUCUGGCUUGCUUUGGCCUGUUUUCAGGUUUCUUGAAGUGAAUGACCAAGCUUGGCAAGGGUUAAAGGAAAUUGCAGGAACUUCUUCACAAGUCCGGCAUCACGUUGGAGUUUUCUUGACGUUACUCUCAGAAGCAAGUGAUGGACCUUCUUCAGAAAAAUCUGAUAAGGAACUAGCUUUGACAAAAGCUGUUGAUGCUAUGGUGCUUAGUAUGGAGAGCCUUCCUCCUUCCAAUGAGGAAAACAAUGGGAGUCGUGAAUAUGAAAUCAAAUACCAUGAGAAAUAUUCCAAUUUUGUGACAGAAUCAAUCUCUGAUGUGGCUGGAGAGCCUUAUGAAAACACACAAAAGACAAGGUCCCAGACUUCUUCUGGAGAAAAAGCUUCUAAUGAAUCUAUAGGUGAAGCUUGUGAGAAACCUGUGGAAGAGGGAACAUUGAUCAGCUAUCAGAGGAAAGUGACAGUUCUUUACAUGCUACUUUCAGCUUGUGUUGCAAAGAAUACUGAAGAUGAAAAGAGAUGUUCUCAAUUAGGAAAGGGCUAUGAUGCUCGGCAUCGUGUGGCUUUAAGGUUGCUGGCAACAUGGCUUGGUGUCAAAUGGAUAAAAAUGGAAGCCAUGGAGAUAAUAGCUACUUCCUCUCUAAUGGCUUCUGAGAAAGAUGAAGGAGCAAAGGAAAAAAAAUCAGAUACCCCAGAGAGCUCUUGGGAUACAUGGAAGCGGGGAAGUAUCAUUGGUGCUGCUGCUUUGACUGGAGGAACCUUGAUGGCCAUCACUGGUGGCCUAGCUGCCCCAGCUGUUGCACAGGGUUUGGGUGCUCUGGCUCCUACAUUGGGCAGUGUUGUCCCUGCGAUUGGAGCUAGUGGGUUUGCUGCUGCCGCAAGUGCCACAGGAUCUGUAGCCGGUUCUACUACUGUUGCUGCAUCAUUUGGAGCCGCUGGAGCUGGCUUUUCAGGGAAUAAAAUGGCUAGAAGAAUUGGAUGCAUUGAAGAAUUUGAGUUCAAAGUAGUUGGAGGAAAUCAUAACCAAGGCCGACUAGCAGUUGGAAUUUUGGUUUCAGGACUGGUUAUUGAUGUAGAAGAUUUUAUAAGACCUUGGGAGGGUCAUUAUGAUAACUUGGAGAGGUAUGCUCUCUGGUGGGAAUCUAAGAAUUUGAUUGCAUUAAGCACUGCAAUUCGGGAUUGGCUUACUUCAAGAGUUGCAUUGCAGUUAAUGAAACAAGGUGCCAUGAUGACCGUACUAAGCACACUUGUGGCAGCAUUAGCUUUGCCAGCUACAUUAAUCACAGCAUCUGAUCUUAUAGACAGCAAAUGGGCAAUUGCUGUGGACAGGUCAGAUAAAGCUGGGAAGUUGCUUGCUGAAGUGUUGUUGAAGGGAUUGCAAGGAAACAGGCCUGUAACACUCAUAGGUUUCUCACUGGGGGCACGAGUAAUUUUUAAAUGUCUCCAUUGUUUGGCCGAUGCAAAAGGAGAUAAUGCUGGACUUGUAGAACGGGUUGUUCUUCUUGGAGCACCAGUUUCAAUUAAAGAUGAAAAUUGGGAGGAGGCUAGAAAGAUGGUUGCUGGCAGAUUUGUGAAUGCUUAUUCCACAACUGACUGGACACUUGGCAUUAUUUUCCGUGCAAGUUUACUUUCUCAAGGAUUAGCUGGUAUUCAACCUGUUGAUGUACCUGGGAUUGAGAAUGUUGAUGUAACAGAAAUCAUAGAAGGCCACUAUUCUUAUCUUUGGGCCACAAAACACAUCCUAGAGCAGCUUGAACUAGAUUAUUACUACCCCUAUUUCAGAAGCACAUUUUCCAAACCCCAGGAAGAAAAAGCUCUUUAAUUUAGAAAGAAGUGCAGUAGUAGGGCAAAUAUUGGUGAAACAUCAAGAAUGACAUGAUGCAACACAAAAAGGUGAUUAAAAUUUGAAUUAUCAUGGGAAAAAUGAGAUGAGAUGCUCCAACUCUGAGUUGCUUGCAAAGUGACCGCUUUCGGUUUUAGUUUGGAAAAUUAACUCCCUAAACCAAAGAAAAUGACACACAAAUGUUGAAUUCCCAGGGGUUGGUUUAAUGGUUACCAAAGCCUCACGAGAUCCAUGGUAUCUUGGGUUCAAAACUUUUUACUCUCCAUCUGAGGGCCACUUUCAAGGGAUUUUGUUAAAUUUUUUUUUUCCUUAACUAGGUACCAUAAAUGUAAGUAUUAAUUUUUUUUUGAAGUAUAGGUUUUAAUAUAAAUUUUUUAAAUAUGUGGGAAUUUUGAAGCCACCCACAAACAAUGAGGCUUAAAAUGUAAUUUGCAUUUGUUUUGGCCGCCAAUACAUAUAU